GUAAUUUACUCCUGGCCGGCGGGUACUCACCUGGCUCUCAGACCCAGCGUUGUGGAAGGACGAGACCGCUACACAAUUCACCGCAGGUGUUCAACAUUUUCUGAGCGCUGGUUAUGAGUCAGACACUGUACUGGGCACCGGGAUACAAAAGCAAAUAAGGCACAAUACAAUCCAAAUGAAUAAAGCAAUAUAUAUCA